rnacentral:rRNA from 1 species
CCUACGGGAGGCAGCAGUGGGGAAUAUUGCACAAUGGGGGAAACCCUGAUGCAGCGACGCCGCGUGAAGGAAGAAGUAUUUCGGUAUGUAAACUUCUAUCAGCAGGGAAGAAAAUGACGGUACCUGACUAAGAAGCCCCGGCUAACUACGUGACAGCAGCCGCGGUAAUACGUAGGGGGCAAGCGUUAUCCGGAUUUACUGGGUGUAAAGGGAGCGUAGGCGGUGUAGCAAGUCAGAAGUGAAAGCCCGGGGCUCAACUCCGGGACUGCUUUUGAAACUGUUGAACUAGAGUGCAGGAGAGGUAAGUGGAAUUCCUAGUGUAGCGGUGAAAUGCGUAGAUAUUAGGAGGAACACCAGUGGCGAAGGCGGCUUACUGGACUGUAAAUGACGCUGAGGCUCGAAAGCGUGGGGAGCAAACAGGAUUAGAUACCCCUGUAGUC